UGCGUAGGCGGCUUCGUGUGUCGGAUGUGAAAUCCCAUGGCUCAACUGUGGAACUGCAUUCGAAACUGCGGAGCUCGAGUCCAGGAUGGGAGAGCGGAAUUCUUGGUGUAGCGGUGAAAUGCGUUGAUAUCAAGAAGAACACCGGUGGCGAAGGCGGCUCUCUGGAAUGUGACUGACGCUGAGGCACGAAAGCUAGGGGAGCAAACA
rnacentral:rRNA from 1 species